rnacentral:rRNA from 1 species
AUUGAACGCUGGCGGCAUGCCUUACACAUGCAAGUCGAACGGCAGCACGGGAGCAAUCCUGGUGGCGAGUGGCGAACGGGUGAGUAAUAUAUCGGAACGUGCCCAGUCGUGGGGAUAACGUAGCGAAAGCUACGCUAAUACCGCAUACGAUCUAUGGAUGAAAGCGGGGGAUCGCAAGACCUCGCGCGAUUGGAGCGGCCGAUAUCAGAUUAGGUAGUUGGUGAGGUAAAGGCUCACCAAGCCGACGAUCUGUAGCUGGUCUGAGAGGACGACCAGCCACACUGGGACUGAGACACGGCCCAGACUCCUACGGGAGGCAGCAGUGGGGGAAUUUUUGGGACAAUGGGCGCAAGCCUGAUCCAGCAAUGCCGCGUGCAGGAUGAAGGCCUCGGUUGGUAACGUA